GAUUGUGAACAGUUAUAGUCUGCAAACCUAUACAAUUAAUUUUAUUAAGCACAGUCU
rnacentral:tRNA from 1 species